rnacentral:rRNA from 1 species
CCUACGGGAGGCAGCAGUAGGGAAUCUUUCACAAUGGGCGAAAGCCUGAUGGAGCAACGCCGCGUGCAGGAUGAAGGCCUUCGGGUUGUAAACUGCUUUUAUAAGCGAGAAAUAUGAUGGUAACUUAUGAAUAAGGAUCGGCUAACUACGUGCCAGCAGCCGCGGUCAUACGUAGGAUCCGAGCAUUAUCCGGAGUGACUGGGUGUAAAGAGUUGCGUAGGUGGCAUAAUAAGUAGCUAGUGAAAUCUGGUGGCUCAACCAUUCAGACUAUUAGCUAAACUGUUAAGCUCGAGACCGUUAGGGGUAACUGGAAUUUCAAGUGUAGGAGUGAAAUCCGUAGAUAUUAGAAGGAACACCAAUAGCGUAGGCAGGUUGCUGGGACGGUUCUGACACUAAGGCACGAAAGCGUAGGGAGCAAACGGGAUUAGAUACCCCAGUAGUC